UACGGGGGGAGCAAGCGUUGUUCGGAUUUACUGGGCGUAAAGGGCGCGUAGGCGGUCGUGACAAGUCACUUGUGAAAUCUCCGGGCUUAACUCGGAACGGUCAAGUGAUACUGUCGGACUAGAGUACAGAAGGGGCAACUGGAAUUCUCGGUGUAGCGGUGAAAUGCGUAGAUAUCGAGAGGAACACCUGCGGCGAAGGCGGGUUGCUGGGCUGACACUGACGCUGAUGUGCGAAAGCUAGGGGAGCGAACGGG
rnacentral:rRNA from 1 species